ensembl:lncRNA
GGAUCUUGCAGGGAGGGCUGUGGCCAGGUCUCAGUUCCCUGCACAGCACAUUUCUCGCCAGCGGUGGUCCGGACAUGGCUGCAGCAGACAGCUUCCUGUGGCUCGCCUCGGAGCCCCUGCCUAGGUCGUACUGCUUUGCUGGGUUCUCUCCCUGGGCCUCCUGAUCGCUGGGGCUGGGUCUCUACCGGGACUCUGGGGUGAGACCAGGGCCUUACCAAACGCUCCGAGGAGCUGACUGCAGCGAAGAAGACCCGGGAAGGAACACACCGGACAAGUUGGAAGCUUUUCGGUUCUGGACCCUGAGAUGAGGCUGUGGAGUGGAUGUGAACACUUCUCGCCAUCAUUGCUCCCAGGGAUGCUGGGAAGCUCUCCUCCAAGCCAGUCUCGCUAUGCAGUUCAGACCGGCCUUGAACUCACUAUGGAGCCCAACUGACCUUGAACUCUCAGUUAUCCUCCUGCCUCAGCCUCCCAAGUGUUGGGAUUAUAGGCCUGCACCAUCAUGCCUGGCAUCAUUAAUAUUUUUUUUAGGGACAUUCAUGUUUGAUUUGUGGCAAUAAUUCACUCAUUUUUAUUGCUUUAUCAUAACUGAUUGUAUAAAUAUACCACAAUUGUAUUUUUGUGGAUAUUUUAUUAUUUAGGCCUUUAUUAAAAAAUGCUGCUAUACACAUUUGCAUACAUAUCUUUGAAUGCAUUUAUGUAAUGUUUCUUUAGGACAUGUCCCUUGGAGUAGAAGUUUUGGGCAAUAAGAUAUGCAUAUGUUCAGCUAUAGCACACACUGCCAAACAGUUUUCCAAAUUAGUAUUCCAAGUUAACCCUCAACAUUUGGUAUUAUCAUUCUUUUUACUUUUAACCAUUCAGGUGGGCGCCUAGUGAUAGAACUCUGCUAUUUUAAUUUGUAUUCUCCCCGUGACUAAUGAUGUUUUCAGUGCCUUUUCCUGUGUUUAUUGACCAUUCAAGCAUCCUGUUUCUAUUAAAUUUUUGUCUUUAG